CUGGCUCAGGACGAACGCUGGCGGCGUGCCUAAUACAUGCAAGUAGAACGCUGAAGACUUUAUCUUGCUAAAGUUGGAAGAGUUGCGAACGGGUGAGUAACACGUGGGGAACCUGCCCCUAAGUCUGGGAUACCAUUUGGAAACAGGUGCUAAUACCGGAUAAUAAAGCAGAUCGCAUGAACAACGUUUGAAAGACGGCGUAAGCUGUCGCUAAGGGAUGGCCCCGCGGUGCAUUAGCUUGUUGGUGGGGUAAUGGCUUACCAAGGCGAUGAUGCAUAGCCGAGUUGAGAGACUGAUCGGCCACAAUGGGACUGAGACACGGCCCAUACUCCUACGGGAGGCAGCAGUAGGGAAUCUUCCACAAUGGGCGCAAGCCUGAUGGAGCAACACCGCGUGAGUGAAGAAGGGUUUCGGCUCGUAAAGCUCUGUUGUAAAAGAAGAACAUGCGUGAGAGUAACUGUUCACGCAUUGACGGUAUUUAACCAGAAAGUCACGGCUAACUACGUGCCAGCAGCCGCGGUAAUACGUAGGUGGCAAGCGUUAUCCGGAUUUAUUGGGCGUAAAGAGAGUGCAGGCGGUUUACUAAGUCUGAUGUGAAAGCCUUCGGCUUAACCGGAGAAGGGCAUCGGAAACUGGCUAACUUGAGUGCAGAAGAGGGUAGUGGAACUCCAUGUGUAGCGGUGGAAUGCGUAGAUAUAUGGAAGAACACCAGUGGCGAAGGCGGCUACCUGGUCUGUAACUGACGCUGAGACUCGAAAGCAUGGGUAGCGAACAGGAUUAGAUACCCUGGUAGUCCAUGCCGUAAACGAUGAGGGGAAAGGUUGGGGAGGGUUCUGCCUCUCAGUGCUGCGGACAAAGGCAUUACGCACUCCGCUUGGGGAGUACGGCCGCAAGGAUGAAACUCAAAGGAAUUGACGGGGGCCCGCACACACGGUGGAGCAUGUGGUUUAUUUCGAAGCAACGCGAAGAACCUUCCCAGGUCUUGGCAUCCCGAUGCCAUUCCUAGAGAUAGGAAGUGUCUUCGGAACAACGGUGACAGGUGGUGCAUGGUGGUCGUCAGCUCGUGUCGUGAGAUGUUGGGUUAAGUCCCGCAACGAGCGCAACCCCUAUUGUUAGUGGCCAUCAUUAAGCUGGGCACUCUAGCGAGAGUGCCGGUAAUAAACCGGAGGGAGGGGGGGGGGACGUCAAAUCAUCACGCCCCCUAUGAGGUGGGGGACACACGUGCUACAAUGGUUGGUACAACGAGUGGCGAGUGGGUGACGGCAAACAAAUCUCUUAAAGCCAA
rnacentral:rRNA from 1 species